rnacentral:tRNA from 1 species
GCCCGGGUGGCGGAAUCGGUAGACGCAGUGGAUUCAAAAUCCACCGCCGCAAGGCGUGCCGGUUCGAGUCCGGCCCCGGGCACCA